CUACGUGCCAGCAGCCGCGGUAAUACGGAGGGUGCGAGCGUUAAUCGGAAUAACUGGGCGUAAAGGGCACGCAGGCGGUGACUUAAGUGAGGUGUGAAAGCCCCGGGCUUAACCUGGGAAUUGCAUUUCAUACUGGGUCGCUAGAGUACUUUAGGGAGGGGUAGAAUUCCACGUGUAGCGGUGAAAUGCGUAGAGAUGUGGAGGAAUACCGAAGGCGAAGGCAGCCCCUUGGGAAUGUACUGACGCUCAUGUGCGAAAGCGUGGGGAGCAAACAGGAUUAGAUACCCUGGUAGUCCACGCUGUAAACGAUGUCGAUUUGGGGGUUGAACUUUAAGUUUGGCGCCCGUAGCUAACGUGAUAAAUCGACCGCCUGGGGAGUACGGUCGCAAGGUUGAAACUCAAAGGAAUUGACGGGGGCCCGCACAAGCGGUGGAGUAUGUGGUUUAAUUCGACGCAACGCGAAGAACCUUACCAGGUCUUGACAU
rnacentral:rRNA from 1 species